UCUUCUCUCUCCUCACAACUCAUGCACCACCCCGAUCCCCAGUUCCCUCACCUUCUCUCUCCCACUCAUGCCUAGCACCGCGCCGCCGACCCCCCCAAUCCCCCUCACCUUCUUCCGCCGUCGACGCCAGCCACCAGCUCCGUGUCGGUCGGCCACCCGCCACCGACCGGCCUCCCACCGCAUCUAGCGCCCCUGACAUCCCGCAGUGCCCCGCCCCACCAUGCUACGACUCGCUCGCAGACCAGCCGUCGCCCUCGACGCCAGCCAGCUCGGUCGCCUCCUUCCCCGCGCCGCACUAACCUCCACAGCACCGGCGAUGGAUCGAAGCAGCCUCGCCUCCCCCGUCAUCAGAUCCGAGAGGCCCCGACCACUACGCGCCGACCCUGCCAUGGACCCGGUGAGAUCCACUGUCACCUCUUCUCCAGCGCCCCGAUGUGCCGUGCCCCUGCCCUCCGGUGGUUCCCCGGCGACGGAUCCGGCUGGGUCUAGCCCCUAGCCACCUUCCUCCUGCCCUCCCGUGGUGCCCCCCUCCGCCGACCAGCGCGAGGUGCUCACCCGGUGUGGUAGUCGCCAAGGCGUCCCCUCCCACGGAUCCGGCGGCCAUGGCCUCCGCUGGCUCCUCUAAUGCUUCCUCUAUGCAGUUCGACAGAGCUCCGAUGGCUCUCCAUCCACGGAUUCGGCCGUCCCCUGACCACCGGACCACUGAUGGCGAGUUCCUCCGGUGAGAUCUUCUCUGACGUCCUGCACUCCGCAGCUGCUCCCGCGUGUGUGCAGUGCACGAAGAGUGCGCGUGCAGUUUCUUUGGCGUCGCAGUGCCGCUCUCUUCUUCAUCCCGAACAGUCCCCCCUGCGCCCUACCUCCAACUAUAGCAUGACGAGGGCGAUGGGCAUCCCCGCCGCCUCCAUGCGGCGACCUCCCUCCCCAAGCUCGUCGCGGUGGCGGAGGAGCGUUCUCAUGGCAAGGGGAGGUGCGUGCGCACGGGGCUCCACUGGCGGCAUCUGCAGUUCACUCCAUGCAAGAUGAGCUCGGAAAUGCUCGCGAUGCCGUUCAGUGCUUGAGCCCGUGCAGUACGGCGUGCGCCAUCUCUUCCCAUUGGUCGGUGGACCAUGGCCGUGCAGCUCGGAGAUGCUCGCCAUGUGGUUCUGGACUUGUCUGUGUGCAGUCGGGAGAGUGCCAUCUCCAUCUCUUCCCGUGUGGUCCGUCAACCAUGGUUGUGCAGCUCGCAGACGCUUGUCGUUCGGUUCAGGGCUCAUGCGUGUGCAGUCCUGCGAGGGACAUCUCUUCCCUUGCUCGUAAGGUUCUUUUGAUUCUGUUCUGCUAAUUGAGAUUUUGUUUUUUCGGUUGGUUUUGCUGGUGACAGGGGUUCUGGAGGUACCUUCUGAAGAAGAACCUUGAUGCCCGGUGGCUGCAAGGGUUCCAUUGCGUCGUGUUUGGGAUCGGCGAUUCAGGCUACAAGGGGUUGCUGCAAAGAAGCUCCGUACAAGGCUUUCACAGCUUGGUGCAAAAUCGAUCAUGGUGAUUGGAUUGGGAGAUGACCAAGACUCUUCAGGAUAUGAAAAAGCUCUAGGUCCUUGGCUGCUCUCUUUCUGGAAAUCACUGAAUCGAACAAAUCCGUCGCUUUUACCAAGAAUUCAGGCUCGUCCGCGUUGUGUCCGUGCACAUCAGCGCCUCUACCACAAACAUUCAGAAAAAAGAGGAUUCCCCUAGUGUGGAAAAUGGAUAGAUCUGGAAUCUACUCCUCACAAUGGUUAUAUGCUGCUUUCAACUUCUCUGUCUAGUGAGUUGUAUUUUGUGUGUGGAUGAUUGUAACAUGGAGACAGAAGAAAAGAAAGGGAUGCAAUUUUGUUGCACUCA